AAAAAAAAUAUAACGGGGCUAAGCAUGCAACCGAAGCUUAGGAUUGUUCUUUGAACAGUGGUAGGGGAGCGUCGUGUACGGGGUGAAGUCGCAGCGGAAGCAGCGGUGGACUGUACAGGAGUGAGAAUGCCGGAAUGAGUAGCGAGAAUUAUGUGGGAAUCAUAAUGGCCGAAAAUCUAAGGUUUCUUGGGGAAGGUUCGUCCGCCCAAGGUAAGCCGGGAGCUAAGGCGAGGCCGCGAGGCGUAGUCGAUGCACAUACGGUAGAGAUUCCGUAGCCACCGAACUUUAAACCAGAAGGACACUUUCAGAUAGCGGGACCCAGCCGUUGGUAGAGCUGGGCGCAAGGGACCGAAAUAUAGUAGGGAAGUCCGCGAUGCUGGGAGGCGAGAAAAGCUCUGGUGUACACUAAGGUGCCCGUACCGCAAACCGACACAGGUAGAUGAGGAGAGAAUCCUAAGGCCAACGGGAGAAGGGUUGUUAAGGAACUCGGCAAAUUGACCCCGUAACUUCGGAAGAAGGGGAGCCUCGAAAGAGGCCGCAGUGAAUAGGCCCAAGCAACUGUUUACCAAAAACACAGGUCUAUGCUAAAUCGAAAGAUGACGUAUAUGGGCUGACGCCUGCCCGGUGCCGGAAGGUUAAGAGGAGAGCUUAGCGCAAGCGAAGGUUUGAAUUGAAGCCCCGGUAAACGGCGGCCGUAACAAUAACGGUCCUAAGGUAGCGAAAUUCCUUGUCAGGUAAGUUCUGACCCGCACGAAUGGCGUAAUGAUUUGGGCACUGUCUCGACAGCCCGCCCGGCGAAAUUGUAGUACUGGUGAAGAUGCCAGUUACCCGCAACUAGACGGAAAGACCCCAUGGAGCUUUACUGCAGUUUAAUACUGGGAAUCGGUAAUUCAUGUACAGGAUAGGUGGGAGACUGGGAAGCACGGCCGUCAGGUCGUGUGGAGUCACCGGUGGGAUACCACUCUUGGAUUGCUGGUUUUCCUAACCUGCGGCCCUGAAUCGGGUCGGGGGACACUGUUAGACGGGCAGUUUGACUGGGGCGGUCGCCUCCAAAAGAGUAACGGAGGCGCUCAAAGGUUCGUUCAGCACGGACGGAAAUCGUGCAUUGAGUGUAAACGCAUAAACGAGCCUAACUGCGAGACCGACGGGUCGAGCAGUAACGAAAGUUGGAGUUAGUGAUCCGGUGGUAUGUGAGUGGAAAUGCCAUCGCUCAACGGAUAAAAGCUACCCUGGGAUAACAGGCUGAUCUCCCCCAAGCGUCCACAGCGACGGGGAGGUUUGGCACCUCGAUGUCGGCUCGUCGCAUCCUGGGGCUGUAUUCGGUCCCAAGGGUUUGGCUGUUCGCCAAUUAAAGCGGCACGCGAGCUGGGUUCAGAACGUCGUGAGACAGUUCGGUCCCUAUCUGUUGCGGGCGUAAGAGAUUUGAAGGGAGCUGUCCUUAGUACGAGAGGACCGGGAUGGACGUACCUCUGGUGCACCAGUUGUCCUGCCAAGGGCAUAGCUGGGUAGCUAUGUACGGGCGAGAUAAACGCUGAAAGCAUCUAAGCGUGAAACUCUCCCUAAGAUGAGAUCUCUCAUCCAUUAUGGAGUAAGGGCCCAGAAAGACGAUCUGGUUGAUAGGCCGGAGGUGGAAGCACGGUAACGUGUGCAGCUGACCGGUACUAAUAGCCCGAGGGCUUGACCU
rnacentral:rRNA from 1 species